rnacentral:lncRNA from 1 species
AAACUUGCUGUCAUAAGAUGGGAAAAAUGAGUACCAGUAGCGGUAUAUUUGAAAGUCGAUAGUUAACUAAUGGAAUGUGAUAGCACCAAUUACAUGGUGCUGGAUAAGAUAUUUUAGGGUAUUGACAACAUUACGAAAAUUAGAGAAUAGAACCAACGCUCUGCGUAAAAAGUGGUGACGUAUCAUGAACGACGUCACACAAAAGGACCCUUGUGGUCAAACAAGGAACGACCGCACAAAGACCUGGUCACGCCCGGAGCGAGGUGACAUGAGGCGAGCCGAGGGGAACACGAGCAGGAGGUUCUAACUAUCCUACCUUCGAGAUGUCACCUGCCUCGCUUCUUGCCUCAGGUGCCAUUUUCAUCGCUAUGAGGGUGACGUCACCCCAUGACACGUUUUCCAAAUUAAACCCGCUAUAAGAGCGGGUUCAAAGGCGGAUUUCAAAAGCGGAUUUCAAAGGCUGAGUUUGAAGUUUAAGGCCGGAACUCCAGACCGGAUGUUCAGGUCAUGAUCGCUUAAGACUAACACUUCACGAUCGAUUCUCAACGAAAAAGAAAGAAGAAUGAAGACAAAUCUUCAGAGAGGGUCAGAGUGAUUGCUAUGAAAGAUAUGUAUAAGAAGAGUUAUUAUGUGAUUUAAUAUACAGUAUAAGGCAUGGUUAGCCUAGUUUCAUUAUAAUUCCUCUCCACAGUAAUUAAAACUGCAGGUGUAAACGGAUAACCUUUAACGUCACGUUACCAAGUUAUUUUUAUGUUAAAAGAGGUUAUCCUGAUAAAAAUUACCCAAUUAAUUAAUGCCCAUACUUUUAACCCUAGAUAUUUUGGGAUAUAAAAGAGAAAUACCCAUUCCCGGGAAAUAGGGCACUACAAUACUUUAGUUUACAUCUUGAAAAGGCAAAACACGAAGCUAUUACCAUUUAAAAAAUACGGUUUCGUCAAAGAUUAUUAUUAUGAUUUCAUACACAUAUUCCUCCUCCGACGAGAGUUUAUAACCUAUAUAGUUUUCGAUGAAACUAUUGCAAUGCAUUAGUAAGUGAAAAUAAAACUGCCUUCCAAAAUAAAAAAAUACCUCAUAAUGGAGUCACCGGUUCGGGUGUUCGCAGAAAUAGUCCAAAUCUGGUUCUUUUGUUUAUCACUCACCUCUCGCCUUAACUUGUAAACAUGUUUAAAAUCCCUGAAAGAGGAAUAUUCCAAAACAAAUAGCUCUCGUAUGUUAUGGGAUUCUGAGUGAUAUUACAGACUCGACACUGAACCAUGUUUGACCUUUGAGUGAAUUUCGUUUUUAACACUGGAUAAUUUCACACAUGCAGACACAUAAACAAGGACAAUAUUCACACAUGCAGACACAUAAACAAGGACAGUAUUCACACAUGCAGAGUUUGCAGACACAUAAACAAGGACAAUAUUCACACAUGCAGACACAUAAACAAGGACAAUAUUCACACAUGCAGACACAUAAACAAGGACAAUAUUCACAUAUGCAGACACAUAAACAAGGACAAU